rnacentral:rRNA from 1 species
GAUGAACGCUGGCGGCGUGCCUAAUACAUGCCAGUCGAGCGAACGGACGAGAAGCUUGCUUUUCUGAUGUUAGCGGCGGACGGGUGAGUAACACGUGGAUAACCUACCUAUAAGACUGGUAUAACUUCGGGAAACCGGAGCUAAUACCGGAUAAUAUUUUGAACCGCAUGGUUCAAAAGUGAAAUACGGUCUUGCUGUCACUUAUAGAUGGAUCCGCGCUGCAUUAGCUAGUUGGUAAGGUAACGGCUUACCAAGGCAACGAUGCAUAGCCGACGUGUGAGGCGGGUCGCCGACCCGGGAGCUGGACCGCGGUCAUGGGUCCUACGGGAGGGAGCAGUAGGCAAUCGUACGCAAUGGGCGGAAGCCUGACGGAGCAACGGCGCGUGAGAGAUGGAGGUCUCCGGAUCGUAAAACUCUGUUAUGAGGGAAAAACAGAUGUGUAAGUAAAUGUGGACAGAUUGACGGUAACGAAUCAGAAAGCCACGGCUAACUACGUG